AUGGUGAGCUGGCCCGACAUUUGCAAACCCAAAGACCAGGGUGGCCUUGGGAUCUUGUCAUCUCGGCGCAUGAACAUUGCUCUCCUGGCCCGUUGGCUGUGGCGUAUCGCCAAUGGGGAGGGAGGCCUCUGGCUUACCAUCAUCCGUAAUAAGUAUCUUCGGGGCCAGCCUCUUGCCUUUUGCCAGCGUACGGGUGGAUCCCAGUUCUGGCAAUCCGUGAUCCAGCUUCUGCCCGUCCUUCGCAUCGGCACAUCCAUCUCAAUUGGAUCCGGGUCCUCAACCCUGUUCUGGUUCGACCGUUGGUUAGGGGACUCCCCCUGGCUGCGCGAUUCCCAGAACUCUUUGCCAUUGCGGCCGACCCUCGGGUCUCUGUCGAGAUGGCCCUUAUUGACUUAG
rnacentral:rRNA from 1 species